rnacentral:lncRNA from 1 species
ACGCGAGCUGGUUAGAUGCGUGGGGCAGAGGGCUCGUAGUACCCCCUUUUCUUGAUCCAGCCUUUUCUUCGCUUCGGUAGUUAAGAACCUAAAAUCCAAGGGGGGCUGGCCUGCACGCCAUACCUAUACCCAUACAGUGCCAGGCAGGCGGUGGACUCAUUUUUGGAUUAGGGAAGGGGGGAAGGGGCCUAAGCACGGCAGAUGCCGUACACUUGAGUGGCAAAGGAAAGCGAGACCGUACUUCUUUUGCCAGGCCUGUUCUUACAUAAGGUUCCUCAAGUUGGUGAGCCGUGUGAUGGGAAACCUUCCCGCACGGUUCGGAGAGCACUGAAGACAAAUGAGAGGUUCACCACCACAUCAUUGCAAGGGGAGCUCGCUCGAUUCGCAGAUUGGUCUGACUCGUAAUUCACUUUUGACUCCGUGUUCGAUAGCCUGACCGUAGUAAUGUUAAUUGUGGUUACAUUCAUAAGUAGCUUGGUCCAUCUUUAUUCCAUUUCAUAUAUGUCUGAGGAUCCACAUAGCCCUCGAUUUAUGUGUUAUUUAUCCAUUUUUUACUUUUUUUAUGCUAAUGUUGGUGACUGGAGAUAACUUUCUCCAAUUAUUCCUGGGAUGGGAGGGUGUAGGUCUUGCUUCAUAUUUGUUCAUUCAUUUCUGGUUUACACGACUUCAGGCGGAUAAAGCAGCUAUAAAAGCUAUGCUUCUCAAUCGAGUAGGUGAUUUUGGAUUAGCUCUUGGGAUUUUUGGUUGUUUUACUCUCUUUCAAACAGUAGGCUUUUCCACCAUUUUUGCUUGUGCUAGUGCUCCCAGAAAUGAAUGGAUUUUUUGCAAUAUGAGAUUGAAUGCCAUAACUCUGAUUUGUAUUUUACUUUUUAUUGGUGCUGUUGGGAAAUCCGCACAGAUAGGAUUGCAUACUUGGUUACCCGAUGCAAUGGAGGGUCCCACUCCAGUAUCUGCUUUGAUUCAUGCAGCUACUAUGGUCACUGCUGGCGUUUUCAUGAUAGCAAGGUGCUCCC